UACGAAGGGGGCUAGCGUUGUUCGGAAUUACUGGGCGUAAAGCGCGCGCAGGCGGUCUUCCAAGUCAGUGGUGAAAGCCCGGAGCUCAACUCCGGAACUGCCAUUGAAACUGUUGGACUUGAGUACGAGAGAGGUGAGUGGAAUUCCCAGUGUAGAGGUGAAAUUCGUAGAUAUUGGGAAGAACACCGGUGGCGAAGGCGGCA
rnacentral:rRNA from 1 species